AUCAAUUUAAAUCGUGAACGCGGUUAAACAAAAAUUUGAGCGUUUUGAUCUUUGUUCCAUCUUUUGUCUUAGAUCUGUAUAUAUGUAGAUGUUCUUUUUCGUUUGAUUAUUUGAAUAAGUUUAAUUAAUAAUAAAUCCAACGGGCUUUGGCUUAAUCCGUGUAUAGCACCAAUUUCUACCAGGAUUAACCUUGGAAAACAGUCUGGUCCCGAAAAAGGCUGACGUUGCAUACCUUUAUUUCGGAAAUUUCGAAAGAGCGUCCAACAACAUACGCUCAAGAAGACUCGUGGUCGGACUGACCAAAGACUGGCGUGAAAUCCUCCAUUGGUGGCCAAUUCUACAAAAAAGCAACUCUCCGACGAGGAAACAAACAUUCCGACGGCCUUGUGGCGGCGAUUCCAUUCGAAGGAUUUGGGUACGAAUCCGAGCGAACCUAAGCAGACUAAAUCUUUCCGAUCGGCGAAUUGGAUCCUGAAGGAAAAACGAGCAAGUCAUCGGCAGCGGCGGGCCUCUAUACUGACACCAUACACUUAAAAAUACUGCCCCGAUAAGCUACGAAGUGCUUCCGGAAUCAUUCCGGGACAGCCACAGCCAACAUUUACCACCAGCUUGCCGGAUGAGUCGAACGGAGAAGUACAUGAAUGUGAAGGAGGAUUAGGUGGCCAGGGUGCCUCGGAAGGACACGGGGAAGGCAGCGUUUGGUUGGAGGAACAUUCAAGAAAAAUAAAAGGAUGCUAACCGAGAAGCCGGAUAAUCAAGAAAAAGAACAUUAUUCCCAAACAAGAGUCAAAACAAUAAUCAUAUAUUAUAAGAUGACGACGCCCAUUUCUUAAAUAAAAAUCAAAUUUCAAAUAAA